AGAUGGAUCUUAAUACAUCCUUUAAACACAUAGGCCUGGUCCCUGCCUUAAAAUCAUUUCUCUCUUGACUUACACAUGCAAGUCUCCGCAUCCCCGUGAAAAAGCCCCCACCCUCCACCUAGGAGUAAGGAGCCGAUAUCAGGUGACAUUAACCCAAGACAUCUAGCUAUGCCACACCCACAAGGGCCCUCAGCAGUGAUCAACAUUAAUAAUGAACGUAAGUUCGACUUAGCCAAUGAGAAUAGAGCCGGCCAAUCUGGUGCCAGCCGCCGCGGUUACACCACGAGACUCAAACUGAUUUUGACACGGCGUAAAGGGUGAUUAAAGACACAAAAUAUUGGGGUUAAACUCAAACUAAGCUGUAAUAAGCUUGUUCUUAAGAAAUCCUAUUCGAAAGAUACCCCAACCUACCCACUUGAACUCACGACAACUAGGGCACAAACUGGGAUUAGAUACCCCACUAUGCCUAGUCACAAACUUUAACUUACAUCUCAUCGCCAGGGAACUACGAGCUAAGCUUAAAACCCAAAGGACUUGACGGUACCCCACAUCCCCCUAGAGGAGCCUGUCCUAUAACCGAUACCCCCCGUUUAACCUCACCACUUUUAGUUUUCAGCCUGUAUACUUCCGUCGCCAGCUUACCGCGUGAGCGAAUAAGUAAGCUUAAUGUCUCC
rnacentral:rRNA from 1 species